AGGAGGCAGAAAUAGGAGACUUGAGUUCACUCUGUAAAUGCCAGGUAGUCGCCUGGUGCGACCUUUCCUCGAGGGUUCUUUCACAUAACCUCAGCUCUGGAAUGCCGACACAAAGGCAGGCAGGUCUCAUCAUGCUCCUUAGUACACAAGAGGCAGGCCUCCUACUCAUCCUCCAUAUUUCUAAUAACUACAUGUUUGCGAGAAGCACAGACGGUAAUGGAGGUAUUCGCUGUUUAUUAUUCAGUCUGCAGCUACCCAGUCUACGCUGUGUACCUCCUCUCCUUCCUCUUUUCCUCCUAGUCCUUUUAUAUGUGAUCACUUUGGGAAGAAUGUUCAACACCACGAGGGCAGGACCCGAUGAUCUCGAGGAGACAGCAAGGAGAGUAGUACUUUGUGUGUUGUUUGUUCAUGUAGGUGUAUGACUAGAAUUUAGUGCCAACCCUAGACAUAUGUUGUGUUCGUGCAUCUGUUUGUACAAUAUUUGAGGUCGGCUAGGUGCUGUGGAAGUGCGCUAUAUAACUAAGAUUAUUAUUGUUAUUAUUGCUAUUAUUAUUUGUUCUCUCCACUUUCUCUUUUCUUCCAUAUCUCUUUCUUAUUUAUUUAACCUUGCUCUUUUUA